CCCUUAGAUGUUCUGGGCCGCACGCGCGCUACACUGAUGCGUUCAACAAGUUUCCUUGGCCGAGAGGCCUGGGCAAUCUUCUUAAUAUGUAUCGUGAUAGGGAUAGAUUAUUGCAAUUAUUAAUCUUGAACGAGGAAUUCCUAGUAAACGCAGAUCACCAAUCUGCAUUGAUUACGUCCCUGCCCUUUGUACACACCGCCCGUCGCACCUACCGAUUGGAUGUUCCGGUGAAGCCUCGGGAUGAGGACUGGUGCCUUUAUUGGCAUGAGUUGUUCAGAACUUGUCUAAACCUUAUCAUCUAGAGGAAGGUGAAGUCGUAACA
rnacentral:rRNA from 1 species